AGUAAAAGUCGUAACAAGGUCUCCGUUGGUGAACCAGCGGAGGGAUCAUUACAGAGUUAUACAACUCCCACACCAUUUGCCAACUUUACUCAGUUAUGCCUCGGCGUAAGCUCCGUACGGGGCUGCCGGGUCGCGCUGCGGGCGACAGCUACCCUGUAGCUUACCCUGUAGCGCUACCCUGUAGCGUUACCCUGCGGCGGCCCGCCGGUGGAAACGAAACUCUUGUUUUAUUGUAUCUUCUGAGCGUCUUAUUUUAAUAAGUUAAAACUUUCAACAACGGAUCUCUUGGUUCUGGCACCGAUGAAGAACGCAGCGAAAUGCGAUAAGUAAUGUGAAUUGCAGAAUUCAGUGAAUCAUCGAAUCUUUGAACGCACAUUGCGCCCAUCAGUAUUCUGGUGGGCAUGCCUGUUCGAGCGUCAUUUCAACCCUUAAGCCUAGCUUAGUGUUGGGAAUCGACCGUAGGGUCGUUCCUUAAAGACAGUGGCGGAGCGGCAGUGGUCCUCUGAGCGUAGUAAAUUUAUUUCUCGCUUUUGUCAGGCCCUGUCCUCCCGCCAUAAAACCCCCAAUUUUUUAGUGGUUGACCUCGGAUCAGGUAGGAAUACCCGCUGAACUUAAGCAUAUCAAUAAGCGGAGGAAAAGAAACCAACAGGGAUUGCCUUAGUAACG
rnacentral:rRNA from 1 species